AUAUCUCAAAUCAGACAGUUUAUUAUAAAUUGUCUUGAUUUGGACUUGGACUUUGCUGUGAUAUUUAGCAGCUGGUCUUAAAUGCAUUAGCCGGCCCUCAUGUAGGUUUGGUUUGACUCGGUGUGAUAAUUAUCAAGUCACUGAGGACAUUUCCAUUGGAGAUGGCCAAACUUAUUUAGGACUGCUUCUAAUCGUCCUCUUGGGACAAUUAUUUCUA
rnacentral:misc_RNA from 3 species